CUUUUAAAGGAUAGUAGCUAUCCGCUGGCUUUAGGCGCC
rnacentral:tRNA from 1 species